ensembl:lncRNA
AAGGGCAGGUAUCUCAUCUGAAGAUCUCUCUGUAUGACAGAGCCUCACAGGCAUCCUGAAGAGCUUGCUGUUGGUUGGACUUCUCAGCUUGUUGCCCAUCCUUCCCAACACCAGAUGUUAGGAAACAUGUGACAGCAGCAUGGUUUGGACUGAAUGUAGCAGCAUGGCUCAAUCAGUCAAUAAGGAAAGGAAGAACAAACACUCAUCAAAUUCAAUGUUGAUAUGGAUAUCUUUACUUGAAAUGGUGGUGAUGCUGCUGGAAUCUGCUGAGAAGCAUCACCUUGAGACUGACUCCUCCACACCUGUGGAGUGUCAGGGCCAACCAUUGCCCAUGCUGGUGAGCUUUGGGGAGGAGCAGGUCAGACAGAGCCACAGCACUCUAUUACAGAAGCCUCGUGACCAAGACAGAUGCCAGUAGCUGGAAACUUGGCAAACUAAAUAAAAAAGAAAAAAAGUGGAACUCUAUUAGUCUCUCAUGUACUGAUUGCUCCCUCGUGUGACACUUCUAAAUAGUACAAUGACAAGCCUCCAGCUCAUUCCUGCUCUAGCUGCAAUGGGAGGGGAGGUGCUGGUUGCAGGGGGAGGUGCCCCCUCCUGGGCCCUCUCGGUCCCCAUCACUGGAUGUCCCC